GACGAACGCUGGCGGCGUGCUUAACACAUGCAAGUCGAACGAUGAACCCUAACUUGUUGGGGGGAUUAGUGGCGAACGGGUGAGUAACACGUGAGUAACCUGCCCUGGUUUUUGGGAUAAGCCUUGGAAACGGGGUCUAAUACCGGGUAUUCAGUUCCUGCCGCAUGGUGGGGGUUGGAAAGAUUUUUUGAAUCGGGAUGGGCUCGCGGGCUAUCAGUUUGUUGGUGGGGUGAUGGCUUACCAAGACUAUGACGGCUAGCCGGCCUGAGAGGGCGACCGGCCACACUGGGACUGAGAUACGGCCCAGACUCCUACGGGAGGCAGCAGUGGGGAAUAUUGCACAAUGGGGGGAACCCUGAUGCAGCGACGCCGCGUGGAGGAUGACGGCCUUCGGGUUGUAAACUCCUUUCAGCAGGGAAGAAGCUUUUGUGACGGUACCUGCAGAAGAAGCACCGGCUAACUACGUGCCAGCAGCCGCGGUAAUACGUAGGGUGCAAGCGUUGUCCGGAAUUAUUGGGCGUAAAGAGCUCGUAGGCGGUUGAUCGCGUCUGAUGUGGAAUCCUUCGGCUUAACUGGGGGCGUGCAUUGGGUACGGGUUGACUUGAGUGCUGUAGGGGAGACUGGAAUUCCUGGUGUAGCGGUGGAAUGCGCAGAUAUCAGGAGGAACACCGAUGGCGAAGGCAGGUCUCUGGACAGUUACUGACGCUGAGGAGCGAAAGCAUGG
rnacentral:rRNA from 1 species